AGUAGUAAGUAGUUGCAAAUGAGCUAAAAUGCUAAAAUUGUCCAUGAUGAGAUUCAAACACGCAACCUUUGAGUUGCUAGACGUUCGCAUUAUACAGCCUUCCUUUCAUUUUUUGGCCUUCAGUAACCUGCUGUAUUAUGUAACCAUACCAAACAAAACAUACAGUAUUAUACUAAUUUGAAUGUCUCAGACAGAGUGACUAUAUAUUAACACAUUUUAUCAGUCUUAUUGGCAAGUCAAGAAUUAUAAUGAAGGUUCAAUAUGUGCUAACAUCAUCUCCCAUUUCAGGCACAAUGUUGAUGAUGCCAAUGAGGUGCCCUACAUGAAGAGCAAUGGAGUCGACCCUAAGAAAUAACAACCCUCACAGCAGAUGUAGCUCUAGUCUACAGUCUACAUGGUACAUAAAAGUAAAAUAACAAGUAGCCUACAGAAGUGAAUGCUGUCUGAUAUUUCAAGAUGUGGUGGAAAGGAAUGCAAGAGGAGGAGGGGAAGAGAGAGGGAGGGAAAAUGGAACAUGUGGCAGAAGUAGAGAUGCAUGAAGUGAGAAGAUGUAUGCCCGUUCCACAUUUAGCUUUCAAGUACUCACCACUAUGCUGCUCCCACUAAAUGAUUUAGUGGCAGAACAACAAUCCAUCAGCUCUGUGGAAGGUUAUUAUAAAUGCAUUACCUCCCCAAGCCUACCAGUUCAAUGGAGUCGUGCAGGGCCUCAUAAAUAUGGGUCAAUAAAGGUACACACACAAAAGACUCAGGAUGAAUGAAAUAGGCUUUAUUGUUUUAGUGUGAACUUUCACCCUACCUGUGCGUAGAAGCUCUCAGAUCUGAGGCGGGUCUUUUCAAAUGAAGAGACACACGAACUGAAGACAGGUCUUCACCUUGAUGGCUACACAUCUGUCUAGUUUGACAGGCAAACAUCCUAUAACCUAAACUACAAAAUGGAUAUGUUACAGACAACAGCAGCAGCUCCAUCUCAGUCAUCUGGAAUUGAUGCAGCUGGCGCCAUUGUCUCUCCAGUGUUCAGAGACUGUGCAUUGCCUUGUGAAAAGCAUCUGGAAUUAAUAACAGGCCAGGGUAGGCCAGCACAACAAGAAUCUUUUUUUUUUUUUUAUCACAUCUUCAAUCCCCCAUCUGUCCUGCAGAUCCAUCUAAUGUUAGAGGAGUCCCAGGAAGGAUGUGUCCAUUGAGUAAAUUAUAAUGGCUUUUAAAGAAGAGGCAGAACUUUAAAAUUAUGCACUUUAAAUGGUAGGAUGUUCUUGGUAAUCUUUCACAUUCCUAAAGUGACCUAAAUCUUGUUUUGACUGAAACAAGGAGCUUUGGAUAAGCAAUAUAUUUCAAAUGAAUCGCUUGAACCCAUAAAUAUUUGACCAAAUGUCAGAGAACAUAAAUGUCUUGUAGUGAAGAUGUGUGUGCCAUGGCUACUCAAUCUAAAGAGCAAUGGAGAGAGGCAUCUGUUUUGUACCUCUCUGUCAACCCUCUCCAGUCACAAUGCAUUGCUAUGUGAUGAAAGAAAGCAUGCAAUGAAUCACCUCUUCCCCUACACCUUUAGCAUCCCGUUGGUCCCGUUGAAGGAGCAACAGUCAGAAAGAGGUGUCUGCCUAUGUUCAAAACACAGCUCCAACUUUCCUUGACAUUUUUAAAAGCAGCUAGGUGUCACCUUAGUAAACGUCUGCCUUGAGUCAGAGCUUGGUGAUGAUGGUGGUUACUGGUAGGACGGUUUGUUACAGAAUCGACUUUCCUUUGACAUGACAUCUUACAACCUGCUACUUCUCUCUAAAGCAAAAAUUAUGUCUGUUCUUUGCUCUCCCCACCUGAUCAAAUAAAGAGAUUGGA